rnacentral:snRNA from 1 species
UGAUCUUCUGAGAAGGGUUCGA